AGAUUCUGCCCUGAAAUGGUCACCAGGCUCUGCUUCUAUGUGGCUCUUUGUCUCCUGUGGGCAGGAAACCUGGAUGCCCGAAUCACCCAGAGCCCAAGAUACAAGGUCACAGGGACAGAAAGAAUGUGACUCUCAGCUGUCACCAGACUGAUAACCACAACGUUAUGUACUGGUAUCGCCAAGACCUGGGCCAUGGGCUGAGACUGAUCCAGUACUCAUAUGGUGAUGGCAGCAUUGAAAAAGGAGAUGUCCCUGAUGGAUACAGUGUCACUAGGCCAAAUACAGAGAACUGUGCCCUCACACUGGACUCAGCCACCCUCUCCCAGACAUCUUUGUAUUUCUGUGCCACCAGUGAAUCCACAGUGGUUCAUGGCUGACUCCUCUCUACACAAAAAGGCAGGGGGAAGCCCUGCAUCCUGUCUCCACAGAGCCCUACACAAACUAAUAAGGAGCCCCCAGU